AAAAGUCAUAGACAUCUGCAUUGCUCGGCUGGGAAAGCGAUACUGUGGAUUAUCUGUCCAUCAACUAGUCUCUACAUUUGAUGGUAAACUAUCCUCCUUGUACUUCAACACAGUUGAAGAUUCAGAUUCGAACUGUAAAGCCAACUAGCGCCAUAAUCAGAAUUUGCAUUGCAAUUUAGCUCUCGAUAUCCUUUUCGAUGGAG
rnacentral:misc_RNA from 1 species